CCUACGGGAGGCUGCAGUGGGGAAUAUUGGACAAUGGGGGGAACCCUGAUCCAGCCAUGCCGCGUGUGUGAAGAAGGCCCUCGGGUUGUAAAGCACUUUCAGUGAGGAAGAACGCCUGGUGGUUAAUACCCAUCAGGAAAGACAUCACUCACAGAAGAAGCACCGGCUAACUCCGUGCCAGCAGCCGCGGUAAUACGGAGGGUGCGAGCGUUAAUCGGAAUUACUGGGCGUAAAGCGCGCGUAGGUGGCUUGAUAAGCCGGUUGUGAAAGCCCCGGGCUCAACCUGGGAACGGCAUCCGGAACUGUCGAGCUAGAGUGCAGGAGAGGAUGGUAGAAUUCCCGGUGUAGCGGUGAAAUGCGUAGAGAUCGGGAGGAAUACCAGUGGCGAAGGCGGCCUUCUGGACUGACACUGACACUGAGGUGCGAAAGCGUGGGUAGCAAACAGGAUUAGAUACCCCGGUAGUC
rnacentral:rRNA from 1 species